CUGAUCCAAGAAUGUGGAAUUAAUUCUCCAGGAGCUGUGGACAAUUGUAAAUCUGUUGUUCAGCGCGAGGCAUGUUCUUUGGCACUGGGCUUCUCUGACAGAAGUACAUAACUUCAGUUGUACUUUAACAUAAAAACUUCAAAGGAUCCAUGGAGAUUGUCAUGUUCCUUCCGAAGCAUCUGCAAUAUAGCAGCAGCAAUAGCGUUUUUACCAUGAGGUCACCGUGUCAACUACCAACAACAUAAUCGUCAUAAUUAAGAAAUUAUGUUUUAACCUGAUGAUGGAUGAUUCUUCUGCUGCUUGUUAGAAGAUUUUGUGUGUUCAGGCACAUGGCUCCUUUUGUUCUGUAAAAUACAAAAAUGGUUUAAUCCUCCUGACAUUUCGAUCCUGAAUUCUGUCUCCAUAGUACUGGAGCUACUAAACUGCUUUGCGCUGAAAUUCCAGAAAGCUGGAUACGUCAUUUCAUGUUCAGCUUUCCCAGAAACCCAGCACACAAUCCCAUCACCCCUUCAACAUCUACACAAUUCUCAGCGCAAGAGAGACUACAAAAGGCCAAGAUCCAUGGAGUCAGCAGAGGGGGAGACAGAAAAACAAGGUUUCCACUGAGGAGAGAGAGGCCACGGCGAUUACCUUGAGCGAUCCUUUCCCAGAUGGGAAGCGCUUGAUGCAAUACCCAGCAGAGAGAAGGGGAACAGCAGUGAGGACACAUCUGCCAAGUCAGACAGCCUGUCCACAAAGUCCUGCUCACAACAUCAAGCCUCUAAUUCCAGAGCCAGGUCCCAUUACCCUGUUCUGCGUUUUCCUUCUAUUUGCAAGGAGAAGACAUCAGCCUGGGUGUAACCUCUCUCCUGAGAGGCCACCAGUCCACUGCCAAACUGUAGCUCUUCUCCUCGCCCGGGGAGAGACCGAGAGAAGGGAAAAACAACUGAUGGAGCAAAGGGCAUCCACGCAAGAUCACGGCAGCUGAUGGAAACCCAGGCCCUCCAAACCCCUACUGAGGGGCCCUCUCCCAGAUACUGAUGGGCUCAAAUACUGCUGUCCCCAGGAGACACAGCUGUAGUUUUAGUCUUUAAUUUCCAGGUAUUAAUUAUUGUGUUAUUCCAAUUUUAAUCAAAGAAGAAAAAAAAUCAACCUAGAAGUAUAGCCUGUGCUAUUUCUUAGGGAUUUUACUCAGGAGGAAUUGAGCGUCAGGUGGAGUAGAGGUGUGACAGCGAGCGUGUGAAGAGUGUGAAUAUUUUUAUAUCUCUAUUCUACUUGCUUUUUAUAUUCUUCCCCUCCAUAUCUUCUUUUCCUUGCUGAAAUGAUGACUGAGAAACAGGGGGGAGGUGGGUAAAGCAGAGCUUCUGUAAAACCUUUGUUAGAGGGAAGGUGGGAAGGAGGGAUCCCACGUGUUCCAUGACAGCUGCUGGGAAGUGGCAGCUCAGGAUGACAACCAGCUGAGCAACGCCAGGAUGCAGAGGUGGGGCACGAGCCUCAGCACAAGCACGAAACUGAGCUGAAGACGACAAAAAAAAAAACAAACCCAUAAAUGCAGAGUGGUGGAGAAUUAAGCACAGAGAAAGAAAACAAAGCA